rnacentral:tmRNA from 1 species
GGGGCUGACAGGUUUCGACAGCAGGUCCGCUGGGCGAUCGUGCGACCCGAGUUGCUCAGACUCGAAAAACGGGGCACAAACAUAAUUGCCAACGAGCAAUUCGCUCUCGCCGCCUGAUUCAUCAGGUGUCAGAGAGCACUCGUGAGCCGCGAGGCCGCACGGGGCCAGUUCACCGCAGCCCGGCAACAGAAGCGGUGGAUGACGGCGUGAAAGAACGCUGACAGCACGAAAGCGCGCUGACAGAUCGGAAAGACGAUCCGCUGUCCGGGCAACCGAACAGCCGACCCGCCGGUGAGGUUGCGUCAGCCUCGAAGUCGGGAAUGGUCGUAGCACGCGCGUUCAACACCUGAUGGACGGGGGUUCGAUUCCCCCCAGCUCCACCA